rnacentral:lncRNA from 1 species
UCUAUUCUAAUAUUUGAGAUGUAGUAGAUCUGGAUAUGAGCUGAAAAAGGUUAGAAUCUCCAACAUACCAAAUACAAAGAUAAAAAGAAAUCAUUGAAGGUCAGUAAUAUUGCAUACAUUCACUUAUUUAUACAUAACAAAUAUAAUGCUUGAAAAACUUGCACUGCUAUCAAAUAGUAAAAUAAAGAACAGAUUAAAAGCUACCUAGAAAAUGCAAAAAAUGAUCAAAUGCAAGUAAAACCACCCAGCUGCAGAUUAACAAAAUCCAGUAGACAACAUCACGAUACUACAGGGGGCGGUGGAGCCCUCAAGGUUGGGUUCAACGUUUAACAAAAUCCAGUGGACUGCUUCGUUCUGCAUUCGCGUG